UCCUCCCCCCUUUUUUUACUUUAGGCCCCCACCCACCGCUCAAGGGUGGGGGCCAGGGGGGAGGACAAUAGGUCCCCCCCAAUCUGUAUUUAGGGCCCCCACCCGCCGCUCCGGGGUGGGGGCCAGGGGGAGAGGACAUU